ACAAAAUAUUUGCUCUUUUCACUAAUUUUUCUUUUCUCUCUCUUUUCAACACACUAAACCUUUUCCAAAGGUUCCAGAGGAGGAGUCAAAGCGGCUGUAAUCUUGAUUCAGUUUUAUGGGCAAUAGAAUUAUUUUACUGAUUCCUGGAAUCAUGGCUCCUAUACAUCUGCUCUCUAUGAGCACUUUGGAAAUUAAAGGAUUGCCAGCUUUUCCACUUUGGGACAAAAAACAUUUGUGCUAAACAGCCGACUUUGAACUAACUUUAUUCUCCAACAUCAGUCAAAAUAAUUUUCUCAAUUAAGAUCUGUCAACUAAACACGCACAAAAUGACCUUCACGGGAUAGUCCUUAGGAAAAGCUAAUAAAUGAUUGCAAAAUGAGACAAGGAAAAGCACUUGGUAAGUCUUGAAUAAUAAAUCAGGACCUUUCUGUGUUAAGUCAAACUAAGACGCAUUUAAUUUGGAAUCUUCCAGUGUUUGGCUAUCUGCUCAAGGAAAAA
ensembl:lincRNA